rnacentral:rRNA from 1 species
GAUCAUGGCUCAGGAUGAACGCUAGCGACAGGCUUAACACAUGCAAGUCGAGGGGCAGCACAGGUAGCAAUACCGGGUGGCGACCGGCGCACGGGUGAGUAACGCGUAUGCAACUUGCCUAUCAGAGGGGGAUAACCCGGCGAAAGUCGGACUAAUACCGCAUGAAGCAGGGGCCCCGCAUGGGGAUAUUUGCUAAAGNUUCAUCGCUGAUAGAUAGGCAUGCGUU